rnacentral:rRNA from 1 species
GAUGAACGCUGGCGGCGUGCCUAGUACAUGCAAGUCGAGCGGACGGACGAGAAGCUUGCUUCUCUGGUGUUAGCGGCGGACGGGUGAGUAACACGUGGAUAACCUACCUAUAAGACUGGGAUAACUUCGGGAAACCGGAGCUAAUACCGGAUGAUAUUUUGAACCGCAUGGUUCAAAAGUGAAAGACGGUCUUGCUGUCACUUAUAGAUGGAUCCGCGCUGCAUUAGCUAGUUGGUAAGGUAACGGCUUACCAAGGCAACGAUGCAUAGCCGACCUGAGAGGGUGAUCGGCCACACUGGAACUGAGACACGGUCCAGACUCCUACGGGAGGCAGCAGUAGGGAAUCUUCCGCAAUGGGCGAAAGCCUGACGGAGCAACGCCGCGUGAGUGAUGAAGGUCUUCGGAUCGUAAAACUCUGUUAUUAGGGAAGAACAUAUGUGUAAGUAACUGUGCACAUCUUGACGGUACCUAAUCAGAAAGCCACGGCUAACUACGUG